GAAAUGCGAUAAGUAGUGUGAAUUGCAGAAUUCAGUGAAUCAUCGAAUCUUUGAACGCACAUUGCGCCCCUUGGUAUUCCAUGGGGCAUGCCUGUUUGAGCGUCAUCUACACCCUCAAGCUCUGCUUGGUGUUGGGCGUCUUUGUCCCGCCUCCGCGCGCGGACUCGCCCCAAAUUCAUUGGCAGCGGUCCUUGCCUCCUCUCGCGCAGCACAUUGCGCUUCUCGAGGUGUUGCGGCCCGCGUCCAGAAAGCAAUCGUUACCGUCUUUGACCUCGGAUCAGGUAGGGAUACCCGCUGAACUUAAGC
rnacentral:misc_RNA from 1 species